UCUCCCCUAGCUCAGCUGGUUAGAGCGUUCGACUGUUAACUCCCAUGAAACCGCAAUCGAGAGGUCGACAGUUCAAUCCUGUCGGGGAGAG
rnacentral:tRNA from 1 species